rnacentral:rRNA from 1 species
AGGUCAUUCAAAUUUCUGCCCUAUCAACUUUCGAUGGUAAGGUAUUGGCUUACCAUGGUUUCAACGGGUAACGGGAAUUAGGGUUCGAUUCCGGAGAGGGAGCCUGAGAAACGGCUACCACAUCCAAGGAAGGCAGCAGGCGCGCAAAUUACCCAAUCCCGACCGGGGAGGUAGUGACAAUAAAUACUGAUACAGGGCUCUUUUGGGUCUUGUAAUUGGAAUGAGUACAAUUUAAACCUCUUAACGAGGAACAAUUGGAGGGCAAGUCUGGUGCCAGCAGCCGCGGUAAUUCCAGCUCCAAUAGCGUAUAUCAAAGUUGUGCAGUUAAAAAGCUCGUAGUUG